rnacentral:rRNA from 1 species
AUUGAACGCUGGCGGCAGGCCUAACACAUGCAAGUCGAACGAGUGGCGGACGGGUGAGUAAUGUAUGGGGAACUGCCUGAUGGAGGGGGAUAACUACUGGAAACGGUGGCUAAUACCGCAUACUAUCGGAUGUGCCCAGAUGGGAUUAGCUAGUAGGUGGGGUAAAGGCUCACCUAGGCGACGAUCCCUAGCUGGUCUGAGAGGAUGACCAGCCACAAUGGGACUGAGACACGGCCCAGACUCCUACGUGAGGCAGCAGUGGGGAAUAUUGCACAAUGGGCGCAAGCCUGAUGCAGCCAUGCCGCGUGUAUGAAGAAGGCCUUAGGGUUGUAAAGUACUUUCAGCGGGGAGGCGUUACCCGCAGAAGAAGCACCGGCUAACUCCGUGCCAGCCGCCGCGGUAAUAC